rnacentral:rRNA from 1 species
GNAGCGGUGAAAUGCUUAGAUAUCACGAAGAACUCCGAUUGCGAAGGCAGCUUGCUGGACUGUAACUGACGCUGAGGCACGAAAGCGUGGGGAUCAAACAGGAUUAGAUACCCUGGUAGNCCACGCCGUAAACGAUGAAUGCUAGCUGUUAGCGAUAUACUGUUAGCGGCACAGAGAAAUCGUUAAGCAUUCCACCUGGGGAGUACGCCGGCAACGGUGAAACUCAAAGGAAUUGACGGGGGCCCGCACAAGCGGAGGAACAUGUGGUUUAAUUCGAUGAUACGCGAGGAACCUUACCUGGGCUUAAAUUGCAGUGGAAUAACGUGGAAACAUGUUAGCCUUCGGGCCGCUGUGAAGGUGCUGCAUGGUUGUCGUCAGCUCGUGCCGUGAGGUGUCGGCUUAAGUGCCAUAACGAGCGCAACCCUCAUCGAUAGUUACUAACAGGUUAAGCUGAGGACUCUAUCGAGACUGCCGACGUAAGUCGUGAGGAAGGUGGGGAUGACGUCAAAUCAGCACGGCCCUUACGUCCAGGGCUACACACGUGUUACAAUGGGGGGUACAAAGGGCAGCUACCUGGCGACAGGAUGCUAAUCUCAAAAACCUCUCUCAGUUCGGAUUGGAGUCUGCAACCCGACUCCAUGAAGCUGGAUUCGCUAGUAAUCGCGCAUCAGCCACGGCGCGGUGAAUACGUUCCCGGGCCUUGUACACACCGCCCGUCAAGCCAUGGGAGCCGGGGGGACCUGAAGUAUGCAACCGUAAGGAGCGUCCUAGGGUAAAACUGGUGACUGGGGCU